rnacentral:rRNA from 1 species
UUAGAGUUUGAUCCUGGCUCAGAAUGAACGUUGGCGGCGUGGAUUAGGCAUGCAAGUCGUACGUCUCGCAAGAGACGUGGCGGAAGGGUGAGUAAGGCGACGGCAACCAACCCUGGGGAUGGCCAUAACCGCGGGAAACUGCGGCUAAUAGCCAGCGACGCCGAGGCGGGGCAUCCCGCCUGGGCCAAAAGGUGCGAUUCCGCCCUGGGACGGACCGUUGUGGUAUCAGGUAGUUGGCGGGGCAACGGCCCACCAAGCCGACGACGCCUACCGGGCGUGCGAGCGUGGCCCGGCACACUGGGACUGAGACACUGCCCAGACACUUACGGGUGGCUGCAGUCGAGAAUCUUCGGCAAUGGGCGCAAGCCUGACCGAGCGACGCCGCGUGGAGGAUGAAGGCCUUCGGGUUGUAAACUCCUGUCGAGGGGGAACAAGGUGCGGUGCAGAGCCGUGCUUGAGUGAUCCCUGGAGGAAGCACGGGCUAAGUUCGUGCCAGCAGCCGCGGUAAGACGAACCGUGCGAACGUUAUUCGGAAUUACUGGGCUUAAAGCGCGCGUAGGCGGACCGUCGCGUCGAGAGCUGAAAGCCCCCGGCUCAACCGGGGAAGUGGCCUCGAUACGGGCGGUCUGGAGUGGAGGAGGGGGAUCUGGAACUCCCGGUGGAGCGGUGAAAUGCGUUGAGAUCGGGAGGAACGCCGGCGGCGAAAGCGAGAUCCUGGACUUCAACUGACGCUGAGGCGCGAAAGCCAGGGGAGCGAACGGGAUUAGAUACCCCGGUAGCCCUGGCCGUAAACGAUGGGCACUGGAUCGUGUGCUCGCCGAUGGGCGCACGAUCGUAGCGAAAGCGUCAAGUGCCCCGCCUGGGGAGUAUGGUCGCAAGGCUGAAACUCAAAGGAAUUGACGGGGGCUCACACAAGCGGUGGAGCAUGUGGCUUAAUUCGAGGCUACGCGAAGAACCUUAUCCCAGGCUUGACAUGCAGGGAUUAGCCGGCGGAAACGUCGGUGACGCCGCAAGGUGGAACCUGUGCAGGUGCUGCAUGGCUGUCGUCAGCUCGUGCCGUGAGGUGUUGGGUUAAGUCCCGUAACGAGCGAAACCCUUGCCCCUAGUUGCCAGCGGGAAAGCCGGGCACUCUAGGGGGACCGCCGGCGUUAAGCCGGAGGAAGGCGGGGACGACGUCAAGUCAUCAUGGCCCUUAUGCCUGGGGCUGCACACGUGCUACAAUGGGCCGGACAGAGCGUCGCGAAGCCGCAAGGUGAAGCUAAUCGCAAAAACCGGUCCCCAGUUCGGAUUGCGGGCUGCAACCCGCCCGCAUGAAGUUGGAAUCGCUAGUAAUCGCGGAUCAGCACGCCGCGGUGAAUGUGUACCUGAGCCUUGUACACACCGCCCGUCAAGCCACCAAAGCGGGGGGCACCCGAAGUCGUCGACGCCCGCAAGGGCAGACGCCGAAGGUGAAACCCGUGAUGGGGACUAAGUCGUAACAAGGUAACC